CCUUGGUUGCAGCUCUAAUGGCUACUCCUCCACCCAUGAUGGAAUCGUCGUUCCUCCUGAAAUCCUAGAGAAGCUAAUAGGUAAGAAAACCU